rnacentral:lncRNA from 1 species
UUCUCUCCAGUCUCCAUCCCCCUCUCUCUCCUCUGCUUCCGGCGGACGCGCCGCCGGCCAUCUCCCCGCCGCCUCGCCGCCUCGCAAGCGCCACCCCGCCCGCCGGCGAAGAGCUUUGUGUGCGCGGCGUUGGACCGGCCUUCCUUUACUUGCCGGACCGACCACGCGCGGCCGGCGAGCAGGUAGGUGGAAGGAGGGAGGGGCCCCGACGACGCGGCCGGCCUCGCUCCACCGGCCUCCGUCUCGGUUCGGCUCGAAUUGGAGGCAGUUAUGGAUCCCAUGGAUGAUCAUGACAGUGACGAGUUGCCGUCAGGGGUGGCGUCAGAUGAAGCUCACGUUGCCUUCAGAGCGAGAACUAAGAAAAGGUCCAAGGUGUGGGAUGAGUACAAGCCUAUCUAUGUAAACGGAGUGGUUCAAAGCGCGGAAUGCCGCUACUGCCAUAUUCUGAUGAGUUGCAAAGGUUCUGAUGGACAUUCCAAUGGAACGAGUCAUUUGUGGCGGCAUCAGAAAAUUUGCCGGGCGAAAGAGGACUUGGAUCUGGCUCAGUUACAUGAUACUGGUUUCCCAUAUGUGAUGAAUGAUAUUAAUCCGGUGGAUCAAAUUCAUCCAGAUUCACUUGAUGAUAUAAAAUUGGCAAGUCACAGUGACAACAGCAGUGCACCAAGUUUUAAAUCUGGGGUUCAGGAUGAGCUUUCACCUGCCUUGACAAACGGUAAAGUUCAGAUUGCAGAGUAUGCUAGCAAACUUCUCAAGGUUAAUAGCUCAGUUGACAAAACUCCCCAGAGCCAGCACAUUCUAGCUUUGCCAGCACGAGACAACAUGACCAAAGAACAAAAUACCUCAUCUACUCAUGCUGCUCCAGAUGUAAGCACCAGUAAAUUUGAUCAGGAAACAUCUUAUCAAGAGCUAAUUAGAAUGAUAGUUUUGCAUGGAUAUCCCUUGUCAAUCGUGGAACAUGAAGAAAUGAAAAGAUUUGCAAAAAGCCUCAACCCGUUGUUUAACAUGGCAUCAAGCAUUGAUGUGGAAGACUUGAUAUCCGUCAGUGAAAUUAGAAACCAUGAAGGUACCACAAAGCUUAAGGACAUGCUCAUACAAAAAAAUAGUCUUCCUAUUAGAGGUGAGCUAUACAAUAUUGCCUGUGUGGAUGACGUGCUUAACAACAUUGUUUCAAAAGGGCAAUCAAUGCUUCACCUUGUUGAUAAUAUACUAGAAAGAUUUAUGCUGGCACAUGCGUACUCAUCGUUAACUCAACAGCAACUUUUUGAAGCUGUUACAAACAUGGGUUUGAAGUGUCCCCAGGAAGACGCAAAAUGGUGGCACAAAAUUUACUUCAGGCUUGAAGUUGUUCUGCAUUGCAAGAAGGCAUUUCCAUCUGAAGAGUUGUUACCUGCAGAAGACUAUAAG